GCCACACCAAUACGGGCACUGACAUACUGCAUACCUACAUUCCAUGCAGCACCAUGGCACGAUAGAGGGUUCACGACCUUAGCACAUGCCCAUACAGGGAAAACGCUCACAGACUUCAACACACUAAAACAAACAUAUGACAUUUCGAAUAACACACUUUUCAUUCAGGCAACUAGCAUCAUUCCUACAUAAACACAACCCUACAGAUAGCACACAGCACGACCCAAGUCCACCAAUACACACCCUUUGGGAAGACAUUGGCAUCAAGCGUAGACUCCCAAAGAUAUACAG